rnacentral:lncRNA from 1 species
AAACCCUGACAAGUGCAUCAAGUAGUGAAUUGCCCAGGAGGGAUUUUUAUGAAGAGAAGCACCAGUUAGCUAUUCUUGAUUAUAAAAUAGUGCCUGUGACUUUAAUAUGGAGGGUCUUUAAAAAUCAAUUCAGAUUAAAAUCACAUACUAUAUAAGGUUCUAUUUCAAGCUUGUUAGUGUGGAAAAUCAUCAACAAAAGUAAUUUUGAAAUUUAUUUUCCUACCACUGGUAUCACUCAACUAUGACCUGUUUGGCUGUAGGAAACAGGUUUUAAAUGUUCAUUAUUAAGCAUACUGGUAAUUUUUUUGUUUAUUCCAUAAAACUUGUAUCUAAUACUACCUCACCUUAUAAGGGUUGGUAGAGGAAGCUUUUGGCAUCAUUUAGCAUCAUUUAAUACUCCAAUUCUCUAUAAGUGGCUGGCACAACAAUAUCUACAACAUUUUUCAGAUUCCAUCUUCAUAAAUAAGUUAAAGACUCUCACUCUAAAAGCCAAAAUUUAUGUACUUGAGUUGGAGGCCGAAUAAUAGGAAAUAGAGUCCCAUAAAUUCCAGUCCUGGGGAGGUGCUGUUGCACUUUUGAUGUCCUCUUAUGAGUGUCUAAAAGUACGCAUAUAAACCUUUUAAUCAGUAAACCAAAUUUUGAAAUAGUAUACCUUUGCAGUCAGAAGAGAAUUUUUGAGACAUUCAAAAGUCUUCUUACAGCCUUUAUGUUGACACAAAGUCCUAGACAACCACCUGCUUUCCCUCUGUUGCCUUUACCAAACUUCAUUGGUAUGUGUUCCAAACCUUAAGAAAAGCUGCAAUCCUUUUGGAAUAUUCAUUUUCCUCACUUCAGCUGAGAAACAUUCACCUCUGAGAUCACAUCUGGAAAAGAAAAUGACCUAACGUUUUAUAGUUGUCAUAGCCCACAUUUUUGGAAAGCUAUGUGAACGAUGCCACACAAUAGAGCCGCAGUGCAGGUACAGUGCAUUGUCUGAGAUUGUAUUUUCCCUUAGCUAAUUGAUAAAAUAAUUCAAGAAUAGAACCAUGGGGUAAUUUUCUUAUCAUUGGAAAACUACAAUUUUCUCUAAAGGCCUAAGGGUUGCCUCUGGCAAACAUUAAUAGCUGAUCUUUCCACAAGCUAGCUUCAAGUCCUUAAAAGACUUUUAGCACCAGGUUGGAUGUGCUAGCUAGCCUCAUUACAUUUUACAUCGUACCUGGCCAUUUUGCUUCUCUGCCCAUGUCUUCUGAGUUUUCUUAUGUUCUUGUUUGAUUCACAGUGGUGUCUUUGAGUAUAUAGAAAUGCUUAGGUAAACUGGGAGAGAUCCUGUUUCUCUCCCCUUCAUAAUUUUGUAGUCACUUUCAAAAACCAAAGUUGUAAUACAAACCUUCGCCACUUCCGCAACUUCUAAAUCAUGGCUUUCUCCUUUCAAUUACCUUACUUUUGGGGGGGAAAUGUCCAUUAGAAAAGCACUUAGAGUGCUGAUAGCCUAAUGUGGAUAAAAACGGGCUCAAUCCAGUCUGUGGGAGAGACUAAAGUAUGGGAAUAAUACCAGUGGGUUCAAUGCUGUAACACACACUGAUCAAUAAGCUUUAGAUCUCUAGCGAAGGCCUUUCUCUCCCUUUUCCCUGAUUGCUUUCCUAUAACAAAUAAAUACUUUUUCUCACAAGACCAUACCUUUGAGUUUGCUACCUACUUCCAUUACAUUUCCGACCCCACUUCAACAGAGAAAGUGUUUCUUUAAAGCUGCAGUGGCCUUUCCCUGUGUCCAUAAAAAUCUGGGCUUUUGUCCAUAGAGCUCUUUGCUCUUUUCUGCUUUUCUAAGGACAGUUGACAACAAUGUCGGGGCAGGGGGGAAGCUUCCAUUCCCCACCCCCAACAACAUCCACAAAGAGAUUUUUAUCUCCUAAGUGGAGUCAAGAAUGGGGACUUACACAUGGCUAAACUCUGGGGAUAGUCUGACCAGAGAGAGGGUAGAUGAAUUUAGGGCUUAGUGGGCUCAAGCAUGAUUACCUGCUCCUACCCACACUUUCACCUCCAUAAUAAAAUCUACCUCACUUUACAUAGUUCUGUGCUAAUAAAGAUAAUCAUGAUAAUCUUUCCAAAGUAAGCAGCAGGGAUGGUCUUUUAGAUCCCUUUGGAAUUGCUUGCAUCCCAGAGAAUUUUGUGCCUUUACUACUAAAGUCAGGUCUACCUGCCAAAGAAUAGACAGCCCUCUGAAGGGGAGAUUUCCUGCUUGUAGUUCACUCUGGAAAGGCCUGUUCUGGGGAGACUGAGAUGCUUAAGGGUGAAGUUCUGGCCUACUUUGACUAUUAUAGAUGAUAUAUACCAAGAGUGUAGCAAUCAAAAAUCACUCAGAAAACAGGCAGGCCUGAGUCAGAAGCAGCAACUCCUUCUACUUGCAUUUCUGGCCUGGGCAAGCCAUUGACCCAUUUUUCUCUUUGGUUUUCACAACCCAGUGUCUCCUAGUUCUCUUCUUAAUGCUAAUUUCAUCUGGUCUCAUAACAGAUUUAUUUUCCCAUAACUGCCGAUAUUCUGCCUUACAGCUGUCUCUUCCUUCAUUACAUCUUGAGCAGAAACAGCCAUCCCUAUGUCUUCAAGCACCUCAUACUGUAUUCCAAGUUCCUUCUAAUUGUCUAGUUGUCUUCUGUUUCCUACCACUCAUGAAUAUCCAGCUUGUCAACCUAUUAGCUAAAUUUCAACAUGCCCCAAUCUUGAAUUCAGUAUACAGCCAUUCUCCCCAGUUUGUUCUUCUAUCCCUUUGUUGGGAAUUUGCUUAUUUCUAAAAAUGUUGGUCCUCAGCAGAUUCUUCUUACGCUAGCCACUUUUUGAAGACUUUCCUAAUCUGUAGCUUACAACCCAUAUCUUUUGCCUUAACCCAGAGCGUUAUCAUGUCUCACCUCAGUUAUUGCUCUAGCAUCUACUUGGGCCUGCUUCCCCUUCCCAGUUGUGAUAAUAGCCACUAUUGCUAGAGCAAUCAUUCUAAAAUACAAAUCUGUUAAAUCUGCCUAAAAUCCUCUGGUGACUUUUUAUUGCUCAUGAAAUUGCACACUCACUUGUCUUUAGGGGCCUGGGGGAGUAGUAAAGAAUGUAAGGCUUCUGGUGGAAUACUGUAGGAAGGGGUGGCUCUACCUUAAAUGGAGGAGGUAAAGUUAUUCUAGUUCAAAUAUUUUUAAAACAAGAAAAAUCCAUGUGUUAGCCGAACAAAAGUGAUACAACUACUAGUGUCCAGUGUGAGCCCAUGGGGUUAAUUCUGUGUCCUCCAAGCUCCUUAGACUUCUGGCUCUGCCUGCAUUUUCACCUUUUCAACUCGUUCUCCUACCCUCUAACAGCAUUCUGUGCAUCAUCACCAAUCAUUCCAUAUUCAAACAUUCCCAAAUAAGAACUCACUAUUUCCUGAGUGCUCCUGCUUUCUUGGCAUCAGUGCCUUCAGUCACGUAACAUUCUCUGCCUAAAAUACCUCCUUCCUUUGCUCAUUCUGAACCUGGUAAACUCCUGUUCAUCUUUCAAACCUAACACAUUUACUUCCUCAAAGAAGCCCUCCCUCCCUAAUUCACUAUUGUCGGACAGAGUGUGUUUCUCAGCCCUUUGAAAUACCAAAUGCUUAUUGCACUUAUUACAAUGGUUAACAACAUACUUUGUAACUUUGUAUUCCUUCUGAAGGCAAGAAAGUGCAUCUUCUUAAUCUUACAUUCAGUGAGUGCCUAGUACAUACAUUUUUUGUUUUUGUUUUUGUUUUUGUUUUUUAGACAGAGUCUUGCUUUGUCCCCCAGUCUGGAGUGCAGUGGUGCCAUCUCAGCUCCCUGCAACCUCCGCCUCCUGGGUUCAAGCACUUCUCCUACCUCAGCCUCCCGAGUAGCUGGGGAGCUGUGCUGAUAGUUAUGAUUUCCUUUUAUUCUGAUGCCAGAAAUUAAUGUAAUCAACAUUUUAUUUUUUAACUAUUGCAUUUUAUUUGCCCUCCUCAAAAACCUCAUUUCCUAUCCCCACCCCACCCCAAAGAGAGAAAGUAAGGUCUGGGUUGAUAUCACUCUUGUUAUAUUCUAGAUCAUUCCAGAUGGCUCUGAACAAUGUAAAUAUAGAGCAUAUCCAGGAUGAGGAGAUCUGUUUACAGUGGGGAUGGAAUAGUCCCUCUUCCCUCACCAAGAAAUACUGAGAAAGAGGACUCAUUAUGAUCUCUGUCCAAUAUGAGGCCAUGCUUCAAGACUGUAUUUCUCAAAUAAAGGGGGCAUUUUCAGGUGGGUAUCUAUGGACUUACAAGGACCAUGGAGACAGCUAGAUGUAUUUAGCAGGAGGACAGAGAAGUUCGAAUUACAAUGUCCCUAGCUUUGCUAAGGAAAGGGGGAUCUUCCCUAUGCUGUUCUCUUCCUAUAAGCUCCUUUCUAGCUUGAGGAAACCAAGAAGACUUCUAACCUAACUAUAUAGAGGAUAGUCGUACUUUUUUACUCUCAUGGAAGACAGGAAGUUUCUUGUGAGUCUGCAUAUUUAAAAUAAAAUUUGUUUUUCUCAGCAUCUUUCCCCCUUGGGUAAGGUUGUAAACUGGUAGAAUUGGGAUUUGAAACUGUGGACUACAGAGAGAUAAGAGGCCUUAUCAACCACGUUCUCCCCCCUCUAAACCAAACCAAAUAGCAACCUAAGAAAUAU